GACGAACGCUGGCGGCGUGCUUAACACAUGCAAGUCGAACGGAAAGGCCCUGCUUUUGUGGGGUGCUCGAGUGGCGAACGGGUGAGUAACACGUGAGUAACCUGCCCUUGACUUUGGGAUAACUUCAGGAAACUGGGGCUAAUACCGGAUAGGAGCUCCUGCUGCAUGGUGGGGGUUGGAAAGUUUCGGCGGUUGGGGAUGGACUCGCGGCUUAUCAGCUUGUUGGUGGGGUAGUGGCUUACCAAGGCUUUGACGGGUAGCCGGCCUGAGAGGGUGACCGGCCACAUGGGGACUGAGAGACGGCCCAGACGCCUACGGGAGGCAGCAGUGGGGAAUAUUGCACAAUGAGCGGAAGCCUGAUGCAGCAACGCCGCGUGCGGGAUGACGGCCUUCGGGUUGUAAACCGCUUUCGCCUGUGACGAAGCGUGAGUGACGGUAAUGGAUAAAGAAGCACCGGCUAACUACGUG
rnacentral:rRNA from 1 species